rnacentral:lncRNA from 1 species
GACUCAAGCCCUGGUCUGCAAGCUGCAGAGAGCACACGCUCAUAAGAAAUAUUGAAGAGCUGGGGGACAGCCAGAUAGGCUGCUUGGUGAGGCAGAAGUCUUAGAGGCCUUCUUGGAGGAGGCAGGGUUUGAACCACAGAUGCUUUGGAACUGGAGCCAUAAAUACAUUAUCGGAUGGAAAAUCCCCUUGAUAAUGAGGCCUGAGCCAGUCUGGGAGCACCCUGCCGGAGAACAGGACAUGGAAUUGGAAAAGCUAGAGGCUCUGCAGGAGGGAGCCCUACUCCUCCUACCUGGCCAGUGGAGGGGGAGCAGAGCUGAGUGAGGACCAUGCACAGUCAUCCCUUGGAAGGUACACUCAAGUGACCCGAUAGGAUAAUAGACAGCAGGUCCUAAAGACCCGGCUGUCCUCGGAACACACCCAUCUUCCCUGCCUCCCUUGUGAAAGCAGCUUUCGGGACCCUAAUGAUUUUCCAGAAAAGGAAACAGGAAAUGGAGAUGAUCAGAUGUACAAACCCGAGCUGUGUGCACAGUGGCCACGAAGAAGGAACAUGCUUAGCAUUUUCUGCAAAGUUCUGCAGAAAUUUGGGAGUGAUGGGAAACAGGUUUACAGGUGCCUAGGCUGAGAGCUGCCACCUUAGCGAACUGGCUUCCUUCGGGGGUCUGUAGGCUGCUGACCUGUCGCUCCUUUGUGCUGCUGCUCAUCUUGGGGAGAGGGCUGAAUUGAAGGAAAGGUCAGGCUCCCACACAAUAGGAGCUGGGUGUGGAAUCAGGACACCCAGACACACAAGCUCUCAGAACCUCAGGAAACCAGGGGAGAUAAGAGGGGAGGUGCUGCAGGAAACUCCACCCACCCUCAGCUGUGGAGAUGUUCUGGAGUUCCCACUGCUUCUCCACAGAGCAGCCCAACAAGGAGGAAGGAUGAACAUCCCCAGACUAGGUUUCUGUAACUCUCCCCAGGAUAACUGAGGCUGCUGCACCCAGAGCUUGUCCCAGUGGCCUCCAUUCUCAUUCUCAGAAGUGGUCACUGCUCAGGACAGAGGCCCGGCUUCACGGCCCACCAUCUGGUCCAUUUUCAAAACCAGAGGCCAAAGCCGGGUAGAGGGAGGACCAAGCAAAAAAUAGGUAUUUCUCCAUGUAGCCCAGGAGAAGUCAGAUGUGCCAAAGGGAAAAGGAUAUACCAUUU